rnacentral:rRNA from 1 species
CAUUGAACCGCAGGCUUCACCCCUUGUGGUGCUCCCCCGCCAAUUCCUUUAGUUCAUACUUGCGUACGUACUUCCCAGGCGGCAGACUUAACGGCUUCCCUGCGGCACUGCAUUGGCCACAAGCCAAUGCAUCACCGAGUCUGCAUCGUUUACAGCUGGGACUACCCGGGUAUCUAAUCCGGUUUGCUCCCCCAGCUUUCAUCCCUCACCGUCGAACGUGUUCUGGUACACCGCCUUCUUCCCGNCCACCAANGCGCCUGGUCUUCAAUAGAUCAAAGGAUUUUACCCCUUCCCCNUUUAAUCGAGUACCGUGUACCUCUCCCACUCCCUAGCUGCACAGUAUUUUCGGCGGCCUAUACGUUAAGCGCAUAGAUUUAACCGAAAACUUAUGCCAAAAAAAAAACCCCCCGGGGGGCCCUUAAACGGAUGCUUUAGGCCCAAUAACACCUCCUGACCACUCGACGGUGCUGGUUUUACCUGGC